rnacentral:rRNA from 1 species
UACGUAGGGGGCUAGCGUUGUCCGGAAUCAUUGGGCGUAAAGAGCGUGUAGGCGGCCCGGUAAGUCCGCUGUAAAAGUCAAAGGCUCAACCUUUGAAUGUCAGUGGAUACUGCCGGGCUAGAGUCCGGAAGAGGCGAGUGGAACUCCUGGUGUAGCGGUGGAAUGCGCAGAUAUCAGGAAGAACACCAACGGCGAAGGCAGCUCGCUAGGACGGUACUGACGCUGAGGCGCGAAAGCCAGGGGAGCAAACGGG